UACGGAGGAUGCGAGCGUUAUCCGGAUUUAUUGGGUUUAAAGGGUGCGUAGGCGGCCGAGUAAGUCAGCGGUGAAAUUUUUCAGCUUAACUGUAACAGUGCCGUUGAUACUGCAUGGCUAGGAUUUGGUUGCUGUGGGUGGAAUGUGUGGUGUAGCGGUGAAAUGCUUAGAUAUCACACAGAAUAUCAAUUGCGAAGGCAGCUCACAAAGCCAAGAUUGACGCUGAGGCACGAAAGUGUGGGGAGUCAAACA
rnacentral:rRNA from 1 species